UACGAAGGGGGCUAGCGUUGCUCGGAAUCACUGGGCGUAAAGGGUGCGUAGGCGGGUCUUUUAAGUCAGGGGUGAAAUCCUGGAGCUCAACUCCAGAACUGCCUUUGAUACUGAAGAUCUUGAGUCCGGGAGAGGUGAGUGGAACUGCGAGUGUAGAGGUGAAAUUCGUAGAUAUUCGCAAGAACACCAGUGGCGAAGGCGGCUCACUGGCCCGGUACUGACGCUGAGGCACGAAGGCCAGGGGAGCAAACGGG
rnacentral:rRNA from 1 species